rnacentral:rRNA from 1 species
AGUGAACGCUGGCGGUAGGCCUAACACAUGCAAGUCGAACGGCAGCACAGUAAGAGCUUGCUCUUACGGGUGGCGAGUGGCGGACGGGUGAGGAAUACAUCGGAAUCUACUUUUUCGUGGGGGAUAACGUAGGGAAACUUACGCUAAUACCGCAUACGACCUACGGGUGAAAGUAGGGGAUCUUCGGACCUUGCGCGAUUGAAUGAGCCGAUGUCGGAUUAGCUAGUUGGCGGGGUAAAGGCCCACCAAGGCGACGAUCCGUAGCUGGUCUGAGAGGAUGAUCAGCCACACUGGAACUGAGACACGGUCCAGACUCCUACGGGAGGCAGCAGUGGGGAAUAUUGGACAAUGGGCGCAAGCCUGAUCCAGCCAUACCGCGUGGGUGAAGAAGGCCUUCGGGUUGUAAAGCCCUUUUGUUGGGAAAGAAAAGCAGCAGGUUAAUACCCCGCUGUUCUGACGGUACCAAAAGAAUAAGCACCGGCUAACUUCGUG